rnacentral:lncRNA from 11 species
CCCAAGUUAUGAACAUGAUAGGUUUUGUACGUUUGUUCUUAAGUUCAAUUUGUUUGUAAGUCAGAACAGAAGAUUUCACCUGACUUUCUGUCCCUGUGCUCAUUGGAUUUUGAAAAAAAAAAAUGGCUUGUUGUGGAUUGGUGAUAAAUCUGCAGUGGGCCUUUCUACACAUGCAGUAAAAUCCGUGACGUUCAGAGGGCGACCAUCAUCCAGAGGGCUUUUUCGUCAGUUGCCCCAAGACUGUGGAACUACCUGCCGGAAGACGUCCAACAAAUAAAUGAGCUGUAGGAAAUCAAAACACACCUGAAAACCUAGCUCUUCUGGCAGGCCUAUGUACCUGGUAUUUCAUGAAUUUUAAACUUGCAUCUUAU